UACGUAGGGUGCAAGCGUUAAUCGGAAUUACUGGGCGUAAAGCGUGCGCAGGCGGUUUUGUAAGACUGUCGUGAAAUCCCCGGGCUCAACCUGGGAAUGGCGAUGGUGACUGCAAGGCUAGAGUGUGGCAGAGGGGGGUAGAAUUCCACGUGUAGCAGUGAAAUGCGUAGAUAUGUGGAGGAACACCGAUGGCGAAGGCAGCCCCCUGGGUCAAAACUGACGCUCAUGCACGAAAGCGUGGGGAGCAAACAGG
rnacentral:rRNA from 1 species